UACGUAGGGGGCAAGCGUUGUCCGGAAUCAUUGGGCGUAAAGGGCGCGUAGGUGGCCCGGUCAGCGUGCGGUGAAAGCUCGGGGCUCAACCCCGAGUCGGCCGUGCGAACUGCUGGGCUUGAGCACUGUAGAGGCAGGCGGAAUUCCGGGUGUAGCGGUGGAAUGCGUAGAGAUCCGGAAGAACACCGGUGGCGAAGGCGGCCUGCUGGGCAGUUGCUGACACUGAGGCGCGACAGCGUGGGGAGCAAACAGG
rnacentral:rRNA from 1 species